rnacentral:lncRNA from 1 species
GAAAAUCAAGUUCUCAUGAAAUGAAAAACAUUAUUCAAUAAAAAAUAAAACCCAAAUCUAAAAACUUCAACCUUCAACCGCCACCUUCAACCAUCAAUCUUCAUAUAAUAGAUAAUUAUUUUAGAUGUUCAAUAUAUUUUGAAUACAUAUUAGGAAUUGAAAUCAUGUUUGGUACAAGUUCUUUUUAGAAAUUUUAAAUGUUUCGGGUUCUAUCGGGUAUCUAUUUAGGUUCGGGUUCGGUUCGGAUAAUACCCAUAACCCGAAAUAUCAUAAAACAAAAUCCAUUCGGUUUUUAUGUCGGGUUUGGAUCGGUUCGGAUUCAUUUUUAUCGGGUCGGGUUCGGUUUGGGUUUUUGGAUUCGGUUUAUUUGCCCAGCCCUAUUCCAAAUAUUGGGAGAAAAGCUACACAUACGGGGAAACUAAAACCCCAAACAAAAGAAAUAAAGAACAAAAAGAAUCAUAACCACACUGAGAUGGAUAAAACAAAAGAAUAUAGCGACUCCAACACUAAUUAAUCCGAUAAAAAGGAAGAAGAAAAUAAAGUUGAAGAAUCGAUUUUUGCCAUUGUAUUUAAACUGAAUUUGCUUAGUACUAUAGUAAAAAUUAUUAGUCGUAGCAGUUAUUAACGCACCAAACUAAAAGCGUGGAAAUUCUUAUCUCGACUUUUAACACGUUAGAGAAAAAAUUUAUUGUGAGGAGGAAAUCCUUUUCAUAAAUUAUACAUUUUCAGGUAGAAUAUUAGACCAUGAAAGGUUUAUCCGUAUUGAAUUUGGUUUAUUCUAGAAAGUAUAUGAAGGGAAACAAAACUCAUAACAUGGAGGCAUGGACCAUUCGGAUUUGAAAUGAAUAAAAGAGAGAUUCUCAGCCAGGCAAUAGUUUUGUCAGGUGAUGGCCGGGCCUUAUUCAAUUUUUAGUUUGCGAUUGGUUUUCCUUACUCCCGCGUAGUCUCGCUACCCAACUUUAUCCAAACUUAUUAUCGACAAAAAUUCAAAUCAAAUCUUUUUCAAAAAAAAAAAAAUUCAAAUCAAAUCAAGUUGGUUACGCUCACAGUUUAACCACAAAAAUAUAAAAGUAAUCUUAUUGGCAAAAGUUCUAAAAUAAAAAUUUAGAGAAAAUUGCAUAAAAACCCUAAACUUUAAAUUUUGAAGUUUUUUCAAUAACACUUUCAACCUUCAAAUUGACAUUUGUAUCACAAAAAAACACUCCAAAAAAAAACUGGUUAAAUAGGUAAAAAAAUUAUGUUUCAGUUUUUUUUCUCCAAAAAAAUAUUUAAUAAAUAAAAAAACAAAUUCAGAAAAUUAAAUACAAAUUCAUAAAAUUGAAUAAAAGUUCAUAAAAUUAAAUAAAAAUUUCAGAAAACAAAAAAAAAUCAGAUAUUAAAUAAAAAUUCAGAAAAUUAAAUAAAAAUAAAAUAAUUAAAAAUUCAAAAAAAUAACUAAGAUUAAAUUAAAAUAUAGAAAACCAAAAUAUUAAUUCAUAAAAUCAAAAAAUAAAAUAAAAAUAUAUAUAUUUAAAUUACAAGAUUUCUUUAAAAAAUGUAUCAUAUCAUCGUUGACAAUAUUAAUUUCAAAUAUAUUACCAAUGAAUAUGAUGGUUUCUCACACAACCAUUAACAAUGACGGUUUUUUGGCAUAACAAAACUUUUUUGAGUUUUUGAAUUUUUUUUAAAAAAAUUAUGAUUUUGUUUUAGUUUUCUCUAUUUUAAUUUGAUCUUAUUUAUUUUUAAAAAUAUUAGUUAUUUUUUGUUUUAUUUAAUUUUAUAAAUCUUUAUUUAAUUUUCUAAUUUUUUUAAUUUUAUGAGUUUUAUGAGUUUUUUUCAAAUUUUCUGAUUUCUAUUAUAUUUUUAUUAUUAUUAAAUCAUUAUUAU